AAAAUUAGUCAUACUCUGCCCUGGGGGAUAUCUUCCCUCCUUAGCAUCUUCAGCGCCACGCUCUUUUC
rnacentral:tRNA from 1 species